rnacentral:rRNA from 1 species
GGGUUCUGUUUAACAGGAUCUGUGUCGUAGCUAACGCGUUAAGUGAUCCGCCUGGGGAGUACGGUCGCAAGAUUAAAACUCAAAGGAAUUGGCGGGGGUCCGCACAAGCGGUGGAACAUGUGGUUUAAUUCGACACUACGCGAGGAACCUUACCUAGACUUGACAUGUAUUUGACCGUCAUAGAGAUAUGGCUUUUCAAGUUUUCUUGAACAGAUACACAGGUGCUGCAUGGCUGUCGUCAGCUCGUGUCGUGAGAUGUUGGGUUAAGUCCUUUAACGAGCGCAACCCUUGCCGUCAGUUGCUACUUCUUUAUGGAGGCACUCUGGCGGGACUGCCUAGGAAACUAGGAGGAAGGUGGGGAUGACGUCAAGUCCUCAUGGCCCUUAUGUCUAGGGCAACACACGUGUUACAAUGGCUAGUACAAAGGGGAGCGAACCCGCGAGGGGGAGCAAAUCCCAUAAAGCUAGUCUAAGUUCGGAUUGAAGUCUGCAAUUCGACUUCAUGAAGUUGAAAUCGCUAGUAAUCGCGUAUCAGAACGACGCGGUGAAUACGUUCUCGGACCUUGUACACACCGCCCGUCACACCACGAAAAUCGUCUACACCCAAAGCUGUCUUAGCUAACCCGUAAGGGAGGCGGAUGGUUAAGGUGAGGAGGGUAAUUGGGGUGA